rnacentral:rRNA from 1 species
GACAGAGGUGCCGAGCGUUAGGCGGAAUCACUGGGCUUAAAGCGUGUGUAGGCGGAUGCCUAAGUACCUUGUGAAAUCCCUCGGCUUAACCGGGGAACUGCGUCUGAUACUGGAUGGCUGGAGUGUGGGAGAGGGAUGCGGAAUUCCAGGUGUAGCGGUGAAAUGCGUAGAUAUCUGGAGGAACACCGGUGGCGAAGGCGGCAUCCUGGACCAUUACUGACACUGAAAAGCGAAAGCCAGGGGAGCAAACGGG